rnacentral:lncRNA from 1 species
CCAGCGGCUCACUUCCCUUCCUGUGCUCGGGACCCCCAGGCUCUCAGAAGAAAGGGAAGAAUGGGUUUGUUUGUUGUUUUCUGCUUAAUUCUUCUUCCUGGUGACAGGCAGGGGAUUUGAGAUCAUUUCCAUUUUCUUCAUGUAAACGAAUUGCUAAGAGUAAUUUAAGUGCUCAGUGGAGGUGAGCAUAGCAGAGAUGGUGACAGCAUGCUACCUGGGACAGGGGCCAGCCACACAGGCUGUCCACAGGGGAGCAUCGCUCACCACCCAACCAUGAGGCUGUCCACACUGGGAGCGCCAUCCAACACUUCAUAUACACAGGCUGUCCACACUGGAAGUACUGUCCCCUGCCUCAUCUAUACAGGCUGUCCACACUGGAAGUACUGUCCCCUGCCUCAUCUAUACAGGCUGUCCACCAUGGGAGCGUCAUCCAACACCCCAUCUACACGGGCUGUCCACACUGGGAGCACCAUCCAACACCCCAUCUACACAGGCUGUCCACACUGGGAGCACCACCCAACACCCCAUCUACACAGGCUGUCCACACUGGGAGCGCCACCCAA